UGUAGCUCAGUGGUGGAGCACUUGCUUCAAACGUAUGAGGACUGGGUUCGAUCCUUAGCA
rnacentral:tRNA from 1 species